rnacentral:misc_RNA from 1 species
UUUUCUCCAGUAACCUUGACCAAUCCCAUUUGCCUACUCACUUGUUAAAUCUACUCCAGCCCAUCUCUUCUCUUUCUUCCUUCGCUUCUCUUCUUUCCUCAACUCGUAGAAGACGAGUCACUUCGCUUUGCUUUGCACGUCUCGUUGGGUUUUGUUUAGUAGUUCAGUAACUGGAUUUUGUUAGAUUAUAAGAGCUGCAGGGUUUUAUUAUGUCUAAAUGUUAAAAUCGGUGGAUUUUAUGUAUUUAUAUGCUUAUUGCUGAAAUUGUUAGGUUUUGCAUUUUUGUAUUGUUUAAAUUGUUGGUUUAAUAUUUGGUUGUUGAAACUCCAUGCGUUCUGGUUGAAAUCUAUGCAUUCUAAUUGAAAUUUGGUUGAAAUCAUAGCAUAAGAGCCAUAGAAUAUUUGAUAUGAAAUUUUAGAAUUUGGUUAAAAUUGGAUACUUAUCUGAAUUUUGAAAUUGAGAGCUGUUAGAUGGUUGAAAUUGAUUGAUAAUAUUUUUUUUCAGAUAAAAAGAAGCAGAAACUCAAAAACCAGAACUAGGAAACAGUAUUUCUAGAGCAAGAGAUUUCAGAGCAGUCAUGCAAAAUCCAAGCAAUGGAGUACCUUUCUUG